GCAUGACUAUGAGUUUUGGAAGGGGCACGGUUACAAUGGGCACGAGUUUAAGAUCAGGGAUGGAUAAGGGUCCAAGCUCGGCUGAGACUGAGUCUAAGACACUGAGGUCAUGACAAGAACAAUAAGGUCAGCACGAACAAGCACUGAAGCAAGCGGAAGUUCUAAGGACUCUGAUUGUGCAUAGACAUCAAACCCAACUAUCGUUGCUGCACCGCCUACAGCAUUGGGUUCUCUUUCGCAUGUGGAAAAGCUUACUCUGUCUAAACUAGACCUCCGACCCCUUGUAGAGCUCCCAGUCUUCUCCGUUUAAUAUGUUCUCGCUCCGCACGGUCACUCCGCUUCAACUUGAGAUUCGAGAAAUUCGUCUGACUUUAUUCAUUCGUGGCUGUGGGUGCUCUGGAAUCAUUAGAAUAUAUCAGUGCUCGUGGCUGCACAUCUCCAGGAAGAUCAGCUGGGCUGUCAAACUCGAAGAACCUGAAGAGUGUGAUGGAUUAACUGGUGCCGGGGGCCUUGAUAAACUAGAGUUCCUGGAAUUCUUGGGAGCCAGACAGUGCCGAGUCAUUGGAAAGGUUGAUCAACGUAUCUCUCACAAAUAUACCAGAUUAGUGCCACGUAAACAUACAAGAAUGCGCAGAGAGUUUAUCAAAGAUUCAGGCAAUUUCUUUCAUAUCUCUUUGAAGAACUAGAUAGAGAAGAUUCUCGGUGAAACAUCACACUUGGGAUAUAAGUCAGACAAGAUCACAUCAGAUUGAGAAUGAAGGGAUGAAAUGAAGUUCUCCAUACCUGUUACUAGCAAAUAGACUCCAAACAUAUAUAUACUUACAGGAAGAUUAGUAUGGUCCAGAUGGAGAUGGAUAGGAUUGUCGCGACUGACCAAGUAACUGCAAAUAGAGGCAGAGGAGGUGGAGCUAGAGGUUCUUCGAGCUCAGGGAAGUGUCUAGGUAAUGAAAGCAGAGGAAAGGGCAUAGCUUCAAGUCUAGGAGAGGGCAUGGCGACAAGUUCAGGAAGGGGUAGAGGUUUGAGUUCCAGAAAUGGCCUUGAGUUCAGGAAGAGGCAUGGCUUCAAAUUAAGGAAAGAGCAUGGCUUUCAGAACGGGAAGGAACACAGGUUCAAGUUCCCAAGACAGAACAGACGUGGAUUCAGGAAGGGGCAGGACUUUGAGUUCAGGAUGAAAUAGAGGCUCACGUUCAGGAAAGGACACAACUUUCCGUUCAGGAAAGGGCACGGGUUUGAGUUCAAAAAGCGGUAGAGGUUCAACUUCACAAGAUGGCACUGGGUUUUUGUCCAGGAAUGGGCACAGCUUCAAGUUCAAGAAAUGAAAAGGCUCUGAGUUCUGGAAGGGGACCUGCUUCAAGUUCAGGAAGGGUUGGAGCUUCAACUUCAAGAAGAGGAGACUCAAGACCAAUUUGUCAAAGUUCAAGUUUCCUCGAAUGUUCUUCCAUUUUUCUUUUGGUGAGUCUCAAAACCAACAUGUGCUUAUGAAACUAUGUUUGGAUAAUUUCUGUUGCAAAUGCGAGGCAGAAGCACGUUACUAUGAUUUCAAGGUUGCAGCAUCGUUAGAGGAUCACGAACGAAAACAUCCACAGGAGUUGUUCUAACUCAAGAUUGUAGAGCAAUUUUAGGACUAGUUUGAAUCGGGUUCCUUGUUGAUAUUUUGCUUGUCAUAAUUUGUUAGCUGGAUGAAUACAGAAAAUGUGUAGCUACUGCUCUGUUACUAAGGAUCUCAUGGGGAGCUUUUCUAUCAUUUCAGUGCGUAAAAAAUGUUUUAAUGCGAAACGUCUUCCUUGCAACAA